rnacentral:rRNA from 1 species
GUCGAGCGGCGGACGGGUGAGUAAUGCUUGGGAAACUGCCCAGUCGUGGGGGACAACCAUUGGAAACGAUGGCUAAUACCGCAUACGCCCUACGGGGGAAAGAAGGGGACUCUGCGGAGCCUUUCCAAUGGUUGUCCCCAAGUGGGAUUAGCUAGUUGGUGAGGUAAAGGCUCACCAAGGCAACGAUCCCUAGCUGGUUUGAGAGGAUGAUCAGCCACACUGGAACUGAGACACGGUCCAGACUCCUACGGGAGGCAGCAGUGGGGAAUAUUGCACAAUGGGCGCAAGCCUGAUGCAGCCAUGCCGCGUGUAUGAAGAAGGCCUUCGGGUUGUAAAGUACUUUCAGCGAGGAGGAAAGGGUAUAGCUUAAUACGCUAUAUCUGUGACGUUACUCGCAGAAGAAGGACCGGCUAACUCCGUGCCAGCAGCCGCGGUAAUACGGAGGGUCCGAGCGUUAAUCGGAAUUACUGGGCGUAAAGCGUACGCAGGCGGUUUGUUAAGCGAGAUGUGAAAGCCCCGGGCUCAACCUGGGAACUGCAUUUCGAACUGGCAGACUAGAGUAUGAUAGAGGGUGGUAGAAUUUCAGGUGUAGCGGUGAAAUGCGUAGAUAUCAGAAGGAACAUCAGUGGCGAAGGCGACUCCCUGGCCAAAGACUGACGCUCAUGUGCGAAAGUGUGGGUAGCGAACAGGAUUAGAUACCCUGGUAGUCCACACCGUAAACGAUGUCUACUAGCUGUUUGUGGAUUUAAUCCGUGAGUAGCGAAGCUAACGCGAUAAGUAGACCGCCUGGGGAGUACGGCCGCAAGGUUAAAACUCAAAUGAAUUGACGGGGGCCCGCACAUGCUCCACCGAUCAUACCUAACUUAAUAUAUUACUAUGAAUUUUACUCACACUUUAUAUUCACGGAUUUAUUCGGCGAUGAAGGCGUGAAACCGGUUCUCUUAUCAUAAGUUGCUUGUCUAUCUCAGCUCAUGUUGUGAGUUGGGGGUUAAUUCCCCGUUACGAGCGCAUCCCUAAUCCUUACUUGCCAGCGGGUGAUGCCGGGAACUGUAGGGAGCUGCCGGUGAUAAACCGGAGGAAGGUGGGGCCGACGUCAAGUCCCCAUGGCCCUUACGAGUAGGGCUACACACGUGAACAAUGGACAGUACAGAGGGAAGCAAAGCGGCGACGUGGAGCGGGGCCUAAUUCCCUAAAUAGUACGGGGGCUUAGCUUCUUCCACGAACUUUAAAAAUCGCUCCCAACCCCCGGUU